rnacentral:tRNA from 1 species
AGCCCUAUAGUUGAACAGACAACAUUAAACUGCAGAUUUAAAAGUGUAUAUAAUACUAUGGCUU